AUACGUAGGGUGCAAGCGUUAUCCGGAAUUAUUGGGCGUAAAGGGCUCGUAGGCGGUUCGUCGCGUCCGGUGUGAAAGUCCAUCGCUUAACGGUGGAUCCGCGCCGGGUACGGGCGGGCUUGAGUGCGGUAGGGGAGACUGGAAUUCCCGGUGUAACGGUGGAAUGUGUAGAUAUCGGGAAGAACACCAAUGGCGAAGGCAGGUCUCUGGGCCGUUACUGACGCUGAGGAGCGAAAGCGUGGGGAGCGAACAGGAUUAGAUACCCUGGUAGUCCACGCCGUAAACGGUGGAUGCUGGAUGUGGGGCCCGUUCCACGGGUUCCGUGUCGGAGCUAACGCGUUAAGCAUCCCGCCUGGGGAGUACGGCCGCAAGGCUAAAACUCAAAGAAAUUGACGGGGGCCCGCACAAGCGGCGGAGCAUGCGGAUUAAUUCGAUGCAACGCGAAGAACCUUACCUGGGCUUGACAUGUUCCCGACGGUCGUAGAGAUGCGGCUUCCCUUCGGGGCGGGUUCACAGGUGGUGCAUGGUCGUCGUCAGCUCGUGUCGUGAGAUGUUGGGUUAAGUCCCGCAACGAGCGCAACCCUCGCCCCGUGUUGCCAGCGGAUUAUGCCGGGAACUCACGGGGGACCGCCGGGGUUAACUCGGAGGAAGGUGGGGAUGACGUCAGAUCAUCAUGCCCCUUACGUCCAGGGCUUCACGCAUGCUACAAUGGCCGGUACAACGGGAUGCGACGCGGCGACGCGGAGCGGAUCCCUGAAAACCGGUCUCAGUUCGGAUCGCAGUCUGCAACUCGACUGCGUGAAGGCGGAGUCGCUAGUAAUCGCGAAUCAGCAACGUCGCGGUGAAUGCGUUCCCGGGCCUUGUACACACCGCCCGUCAAGUCAUGAAAGUGGGCAGCACCCGAAGCCGGUGGCCUAACCCCUUGUGGGAUGGAGCCGUCUAAGGUGAGGCUCGUGAUUGGGACU
rnacentral:rRNA from 1 species